rnacentral:tRNA from 1 species
GGAAGGGCAACGAUCCCGGUGGAUCGGCCGGACUUCAAAUCCGGUGGACGAUGCCAUGCAUCGUCGGGUGGGUUCGACUCCCACACUCUUCCGCCA